rnacentral:rRNA from 1 species
CCGGGGGGGGAGAAAAGAGCCCUUUGGGGUUUAAAACCCGUUUUCAACCAGGGAAAAAAAUUGGCCGGUCCCUUCAAGAAAAACCCCCGGCCAAAUUAGGGCCAAGCAGCCGGGGUAAUACGUAGGGGGCAAGCUUUGUCCGGAUUUAUUGGGCGUAAAGGGCUCGUAGGCGGUUUGACAAGUCGGUCGUGAAAGCCCGGGGCUCAACCCCGGGACGCCGGUCGAAACUGUCAUGACUAGGGUCCGGUAGAGGUGAGUGGAAUUCUCGGUGUAGCGGUGAAAUGCGCAGAUAUCGAGAGGAACCCCAGUUGCGAAGGCGGCUCACUGGGCCGGUACCGACGCUGAGGAGCGAAAGCGUGGGGAGCAAACAGGAUUAGAUACCCUGGUAGUCCACGCCGUAAACGUUGAACACUAGGUGUGGCGGACUUAUCCACGUCCGCCGUGCCGCAGCUAACGCAUUAAGUGUUCCGCCUGGGGAGUACGGCCGCAAGGCUAAAACUCAAAGGAAUUGACGGGGCCCCGCACAAGCGGCGGAGCAUGCGGCUUAAUUCGAUGCAACCCGAAGAACCUUACCUGGACUUGACAUCAUGGGUCUACCUUCAGAAAUGUUGGGUGCUUUGCGCUCAUGACAGGUGGUGCAUGGCUGUCGUCAGCUCGUGUCGUGAGAUGUUGGGUUAAGUCCCGCAACGAGCGCAACCCCCGUCCUAUGUUGCCAGCACGUAAUGGUGGGGACUCAUAGGAGACUGCCGGGGACAACUCGGAGGAAGGCGGGGACGACGUCAAGUCAUCAUGCCCCUUAUGUUCAGGGCUGCACGCAUGCUACGAUGGGCUGUACAACGGGCUGCGAUCCAGCGAUGGUGAGCGAAUCCCUCAAAACAGUCCUCAGUUCGGAUUGGAGUCUGCAACUCGACUCCAUGAAGCCGGAGUCGCUAGUAAUCGCGAAUCAGCAAAGUCGCGGUGAAUACGUUCUCGGGGCUUGUACACACCGCCCGUCACAUCACGGAAGUCGGUAACACCCGAAGUCAGUGGCCUAACCCUAGGGAAGGAGCUGCCGAAGGUGGGAUCGGUGACUGGGAUGAAGUCGUAACAAGGUAACCGUA